AUAGAAGGGAAUUAGGGUUACGAGUUAAGUCGCUUCAAAUUCUGAAAUGCUUUUCUCCCUUCUCGCGAACGAACGGCGGCGCCGGUGUCACCCUCUCCGGCGAGGUUCCUCUCUUCUUCUCCGUCGAUCAAACCAACAGCGGCGACGAUCCUCUCAUUCAACCCCGAUCGAAGCUUCUCCGUGUCGAUUCACACUUCUUCCCUUCUAAUUCUUCGUCUUUCCGCCUUGUUGUUGUCCGUUGGUGAAGAUGUGACGCGCGAUUUAUGCAGAGAAGAGCUUGAAGAUUUUUCUUGCGAUCGUUGUCUACAACAGAGAUAGUUGAAUGUAAUUUCCAAAUGGACCAAGGUUCGGUUGAACAAUGAUAGAGUGAUGAUUGAAGGUCGAUGUAUCAUGAUGGAGGAAGAUUCAAAGGACAGUAUGUGGAAAUCGUGAAUUGAGAGGAGAAUCAAGUUGAACAUUGAAGUUUCAAGAGAUUUUUUGAAGAAGAACAGUGGAUAGGUGAUGAUUGUUGUUGGUGCGUUGAUGUUGUGGUAGAGAUGAAGGUUGAAGAUGAUAGUUUGAGAAAUUGAGGAGAAUGGAAGAUGAUGAUGAAUGAGAUUCAGAGUGAAGAAGAUUGUGUGGAGAGUGAAGAUUGAAGGUGGUUAUGGAAGUGAAGGGCUGAAAUGAGAUGAUUAUGGUGGAGAGAGUGAGAAGAGAAGUGAAGAAUGGAAUGGUGGAGAGAAGAAGAUGAUGAAUUGAGAAAAUGGUGAAGAGGACUAACUGAAGUGUGGUGGUUCUGAUUUUAUAGAAGUUGAAGGAGGUUGGAGAGUUGGUUGUGGAUGCAUCUCAGCCUUUGAUUGAAGCAGUUUGUUAUACAUUCGAUGGAGAAGAUUGAACCUGGUAGAGAGGUAGCAGCAGAAUUGUCGCAAGGAUGCGCCGCUUGGGAAUAAUGUGGUGAAGACGGCAAGCUUGAAUGAGGAGGCUUGGAGUUGAUGUUUGCACAUGAAGGACUUGUAAGAGCGUAGGCGACAUUGAGGCGACUUGUAUCUAGACCGUGACAUGAAGUUCAACAACAUAAUAUCUCUCAUGUUUAGAUUUCUGUUUGUAAUGUGACAACAUGACAUUUGGACUCUUGGAUAAAUAUAUAUUUUGUAAAGGAUUUUCUUUUUUUCAAUUCAUGUUGUAAUAGCCUUUGAACAAGAAUAAUGAACAUGUAAUAUAUUGGAUGUUGAAUGGACUUGGAGUCAAGA